GCCGCAGACCAUCCGAUUUCAAAUCAUGGCAAGCCCUACACUGUCUGACUUGUAAACAGUAGGUCAUCCGUUCGAUUCGGAUAAGCGGCACCA
rnacentral:tRNA from 1 species